rnacentral:misc_RNA from 1 species
CAUAAAAUGGAGGCGUGAAAAGGAUUAUAAUAUUCAUAUUAGUAUACGGAUCUUCCAUCUCCCUCUGUGAUCACAUCUUUGAAAGCACCGCCACUGGGAAUCAUCGGCAGGACAUGUUCCUGAUGCGGUACAAUCACAUCCAACAAGUAAGGCCCUUCUGUUUCCAGCAUCUUCUUCAUUGCUGCUCUUAACUCAGCUCUCUUCGUCACACGGGCAGCUGGGAUCCCGCAGGCCUCUGCGAACUUCAACAUGUUGGGGAAUAUCUCGGUCUCGUUUGAUGGAUCUCCCAGGUAAGUGUGAGCUCUGUUGGCUUUAUAGAACCGAUCCUCCCACUGCACAACCAUGCCUAGAUGCUGGUUGUUCAGCAGCAGGAUCUUCACUGGAAGUUUCUCAACACUGAUUGUUGCCAGUUCUUGGACAUUCAUGAUGAAACU